AAAAACGAAGUCAAAACAGAAGCUGUCGUAUCGCCCGAAAAAUAAACAUCGUAAACACAGGCCAUUGUUUUUCAUCUUUCUCUAACUCUUUUGCUUUUUGGAUUUGGUCUUUUCGCUCUUUUUCUGUUUGC
rnacentral:ribozyme from 13 species